rnacentral:tRNA from 1 species
GCCCCGAUCUUAUAGGUGGUUAGUAAAUCAGUCUCAUACGUAAUCAACAGCUUCAAGCCGCGAUUCGAAUGACAUCUGGCAACCUCAGUUCGAGUCUGAGUCGGGGCA